rnacentral:lncRNA from 1 species
CUGGAAGGAGGAAAGAGCUCCCUUUUCCCCACUGUUUGCGUCUCAGGAGGAGGGAGUGAAAGAGGAAGGAGUUUGUUCUGAUUACUCCCGUGUGGGAGAGACCUGCAGCUCCAGCUCACCUCGCUAACACUCUGUCAGUGUUGACAUCUACACAACUCCUCAGAGGUGUUCAGAAGAAUGAUGUCAACUGUUAUUCAUAUUCUCACUUUGUAUGGAUGGAGCUUCUAACUAAUCUAGGUUUCGGCAGGGAGCAACAGUGAGCACACAGAAAGGGAGAAAAGAGGGGCUGAAUCUUUCUUUGGUCCUAGAGCAGAGCGUCCUGAUAAUGGGCAAAGAACUCCCUGAAGCCAACGUAGUGGGCAGAAAACACAACCUUGUCCUUUGUGCAGGCUGGAGCCCCUGCUGCAAUGCCACAGCAGCUCACACCUUGUUGCGAUCUGAGUCUCCUGGAACAAUAAUCACCCAGAGCCACCCUCGCUGCAGAUGGCCCCUGCACUUCCAGACUGUUUAA